UAUUACUAGACUUCCAGGCAAAUUGGACUGCUCACUUUCAAAGGAAACCACCUUCUACUGGAAAUACACAAGCUGGUCAACAGGUAACAUGUUAAGAAACUAGCAAUAACUUCUAUAAAUGUGAUACAGUACAGAAUACAUGAAUUAGAAAUUGCGUAAAUGAACCAGCUCUCUCCUUCCCCUCCAACCCCCUUUUCCUCCUCGCACUAGGAGUUAACAUUAAAAGUAAACCAACCCUGUUUAAAAUUAGUUAAACACACACUGAAAAGGAUUUAGUUUUAUUUUAAAAUGUUUUUCUAAAAUUGAUCAGGCUUCAUUGCAAAAACAUUUUGAACAAGAACAAAAAUCAGUUCCCCACCCUGUCAAGUUCAUAACUUCAUUCAGGAAACUCAAAGUGAGUACAAAUGAUUUUAGGCAAUAUACAAAGCUGUUUAAAACCACAGUUCUGAGUAAAUCUAAUUUCUCUUGCCCCACUAGAAAAAAGCUUUAGUUUUAAAAUUCUUUUCUAUACAGUUGACAGAAGCCCCCUUGCCUUUUAUAUUUUUAAAAAUUACACUUAGAAUUUGAAUCCUUCAAAAACCAUUUAGAAAGUAAGUUUUUAUUUAGAGAUGAUUCAAUCCCCCAUGUAAUGGAUGAUAGUCAAAUUAAUGUCCAUCUUAUUUUUUUAAGCUGUCUGAGUAAUAUUACCUAAUGGCUGGAAAGUUGGGAUAGAUAAUUUAACUUUUUACUAAAAACUGCAACUCUGGGGUGUCCUCUUGUCUCUCCCAUUCUUCUGUCACUCUACGAAAUGCUUGUGUUUUUUCUUCUCAGGUUUGUAUAGCCUUCCCCCAAACCAUGAAACACAAUGUAUUGUGAGAGGGAAAGUUUCAGAAAUGUAAUAUUUCUGUGACUGGCUUUGUUACUGUAUAGAGGAUAACAUUGCAAUGCCUUUCUUAGGACAACUUUAGUUAUAUUAUUCAGAAACUCUCAACUCUCGUAAGUGUAUCUUGUCUAUAUGCAUUCCUUUAUGUAUAACAAAGGCCAGAUUUAAUGCAGCUUCUGAGCACAGCCCUAUUUAUUGUAUGGCAACUUUAUUUAAGAUACAAAAAAUUGUGCUCAAAUGAUUAUAGCCAGAUUACUGGCACCGUGAGCUAUGGCAUACAGUACAUAACUGGAAAGGAAAAAGUGCAUGAGUAGUGAGUGAAGCAUCAGCUUUCCCUCGCUGUGAGAGUAUAACUUAAACGCAGUGUGCAGUCCUUUGUACACUUCAGUCAUGCCUACCACCUCUUCUCUCCUCUAAUCUUGUUUUACUGUCUUCUAUUCUGCAUUAGUAACUGACCUGUUGAUCUGGAUUUGUUCAAAUUAUAAAAAUAGUCCUUUUGAACAAACAGUUACAGGAUGCAAGCUACUUUCAUUUUCUUUUCCCUUGCUGUCUGAAACACUGGACUGUGGCAUACAGGUGAUCUUCAGUAUCAGGGUCCAAAUCCCUGUAACCUACCCACUUUUAUCAACCAGGAUUUACAAGUGGAAUCAAGGACAAAACCUCAGGGGUAGCUCAGAAUGUGUGUAAUACUAAUUGUUUUAAAACAGCAUGGUGGAGAACCAUCUGUGAUAGAUGGUGUGGUGGACUUUCCCCACUUUAAAGUCCUGCUUCAACAGGCACCUUGCAGUAACAAGCAGAGACCAGCACUCCCAAAGCUUUCCUAAUGGCACUAGGAGGUACUGUAUGUUUGUUGACCACAAUGAAUACAUUCAACAUGUUACAAUAAAAACAUUGUACAAUAA